GAUGAAGAACGCAGCGAAAUGCGACAAGUAAUGUGAAUUGCAGAAUUCCGUGAAUCAUCGAGUCUUUGAACGCACAUUGCGCCCCCUGGUAUUCCGGGGGGCAUGCCUGUCCGAGCGUCAUUGCUGCCCUCAAGCCCGGCUUGUGUGUUGGGCCUUGCUCCCCCGGGGGCAGGCCCGAAAGGCAGUGGCGGCACCGCGUCCGAUCCUCGAGCGUAUGGGGCUUUGUCACCCGCUCUGUAGGCCCGGCCGGCGCUUGCCGACCCCAAUCAAUCUUUUUUCAGGUUGACCUCGGAUCAGGUAGGGAUACCCGCUGAACUUAAGCAUAUCAAUAAGCGGAGGA
rnacentral:misc_RNA from 1 species